rnacentral:rRNA from 1 species
UACGGGGGGUGCAAGCGUUGUUCGGAAUUACUGGGCGUAAAGGGCUCGUAGGCGGCCAAGGAAGUCAGACGUGAAAUCCCUCGGCUUAACCGGGGAACUGCGUCUGAUACUGGAUGGCUUGAGUUUGGGAGAGGGAUGCGGAAUUCCAGGUGUAGCGGUGAAAUGCGUAGAUAUCUGGAGGAACACCGGUGGCGAAGGCGGCCACCUGGACGGUAACUGACGCUGAGACGCGAAAGCGUGGGGAGCAAACAGG